rnacentral:rRNA from 1 species
AGCGAACGCUGGCGGCAGGCCUAACACAUGCAAGUCGAACGAAGCCUUCGGACUUAGUGGCGGACGGGUGAGUAACACGUGGGAACGUACCGUUUGGUUCGGAACCACUCAGGGAAACUUGAGCUAAUACCGGAUUAGCCCUUAGGGGGAAAGAUUGAUUGCUGAAAGAGCGGCCCGCGUUAGAUUAGCUAGUUGGUGAGGUAAAGGCUCACCAAGGCGACGAAGUAUAGCUGGUCUGAGAGGAUACUCAGCCACCCUGGGACUGAGACACGGCCCCGCUUCCUACGGGAGGCAGCAGUGGGGCCUCUUGCGCAAUGGGCGAAAGCCGGACGCAGCCAUGCCGCGUGCCUCCUCCCCGUCUUAGGAUUGUAAACUUCUUUUACCAGGGACGAUAAUGACGGUACCUGGAGACCAAGCCCCGGCUACUUCGUGCCAGCAGCCGCCGUAAUAC